CCCGACUUAGCUCAGCUGGUAGAGCGGCGGACUGUAGAUCCGCAGGUCUCUGGUUCAAAUCCGGAAGUCGGGA
rnacentral:tRNA from 3 species